rnacentral:rRNA from 1 species
UGGCCUACGGGAGGCAGCAGUGGGGAAUUUUGGACAAUGGGGGCAACCCUGAUCCAGCCAUGCCGCGUGUCUGAAGAAGGCCUUCGGGUUGUAAAGGCCUUUUGUCCGGGAAGAAAAGCGCGAUGUUAAUACCAUUGCGUGCUGACGGUACCGGAAGAAUAAGCACCGGCUAACUACGUGCCAGCAGCCGCGGUAAUACGUAGGGUGCGAGCGUUAAUCGGAAUUACUGGGCGUAAAGCGGGCGCAGACGGUUACUUAAGCAGGAUGUGAAAUCCCCGGGCUCAACCUGGGAAUUGCGUUCUGAA